rnacentral:lncRNA from 1 species
GAAUAUGUAUUAUCUUUUUUAUAUGGAGAGAAAUGUUAGGAUUUUCCAGUUUAGUUGCAAGUUGCAACAUGAUUUUUAGAGCCGUAGUGUUUUCAUCUCUUUUUGAGUUGUAUGAAGAAAAAGAGUAUGACUUUUUGAGUUGUAUGAAGAAAAGGAGUAUGAGAAUAAUGGCGUAACUGCUUUUAAAUUAAGUCCAUGAUCUAAAUCCAUCAUGUUUGGUUUGGGGUCUACGGAGAUUCCCAUGUAGUAUAUGAUG